rnacentral:lncRNA from 1 species
CACAGUACUAGAGCACUAGAAGUUUUGCUUUGUACCUGCCAAGUGUUGAAGCACCACAUUGUGGGCAGGGUGACAGACUGCUCUGAGAGCAUGCCAGAUCGGGAAAGAAAGAGGCAGCUGCCUGGAUAUAACAAAUGAAGCUUGUUGGCAGCCAGCCAGUUGCCAUGCAGUUAUGGAGCUCCUUAAUGUUGAAGUGGCUUUAAAAGUGUGGUGAAAAAGACUGAUGGAAGGCCUACAGCUCUAGACAGUACAGGAAAGG